rnacentral:lncRNA from 1 species
CCACCUCAGAGGAAAAGUAGAGUCACCUAAUCAGACCACAUUGACCAAGAGGGGGGCAGUGGUCCCCCACGGAAAAGCCAAGGCAUUGCCGUAGAAAGAGGACAGGAUGCAGGACAAGGAAAACAAGGAAUAUUUAUUCCAGUUACUUUCCAAGUGCAUCAUGCUGAUCCACACUUGGCCCCAAGAGAAUCACCCGAAGGGAUACCAUUUGAGUUCUGGGAGAGCUGCCUGCCGACUUCACAAAGACGUAUUCCUCUCAUUAAUGACUGUUAGUGUAGCAUCAUGCAAUGCUCCUGAGAAACUGCAGAAAUAGUAAUGACCAUGUGAUGGCCAAGGCUGAUUGGAAGAUGCUCCUGGGGAGAGAUGAAGUUUGGAUUUACAGCAUCAGCAUGAAGGAGUUGCAAGCAUUGGUGUUGUAAACCGCACUGGCACCUGACACUAAAUGUGGGAAAGGGAUGGGGUUCCAGAAAUAAAGCAAAAAUACCAGGCAAUGGAUGCACAGUGACUGAGUUUUGGGAGAGGCAUAAAUGCCAAGGAGAAUGGGUUGUAGGUUCUAUGUUGGGGUGAGGCUAUGGUGGGGUGGAAGUAUGAGUGUUGAGUGAGUGAGUAUCAUUGUCUCAGAUCCUGGAGAAAGGUCAGCCUUGCAUGGCAUGGAAGGGCAGGUGUUCAUACAGUUGGGCAUUAUGCCUGGCACAUCACCUAUGUCAACCCAUUUAACCUUCACAACAACUGGGUAUAGUAGGUAUUAUUGUUCCCAUUACGCAUAUGAAGAAACUGAGGUUCAGAGAGGCCCUGUAAUUGCAUUGUGGUCUGAUUCAGAUCUGGGGUUUAUAGCUAGAAGUUCUAAAGGAAGCCUUAAAACACUGCCGCACCUUUUAGAUCUGGAUUCGUAGGAAGGGAAGGUUAUUCUAAAAUGCAGUGGCAGACAGAGGGCAACAGACUGUCAUCACCUCUGCAUCUGGAUGACUCUUUAUGGUCAUUAGCAUCUCCCAGGGCCCUCAGUGAGCAGCUUCUCAAGGCAGGUCUUCCCUGAUGGCAAGAGGUGGCAUGAAACCUCCUCUGCCACAUGCUGGCUGCUCCCGUACAGGUGGUCCGGCUGCUGCUGGCUAAGGACAGGCAGAGGAGGGAGGAUGGAGGAAAGGUGAGGGCUGGUAGGUGCUCAAGCCACCCAGGCCAAACAGUGGCAGCAGGAGCAGCAGAGAGGCCUGCAUUUUGGUGGUGCCCCAGGCUGCACUGCUAUUUUCACUUCAGGGGCUGUGAGCAGAGAAGAUCCUUCCACCUCACUCUUCUCAUUUUACAUGUGCCCUGAAGAAACAUCCUACCCAGAGGCUAGAACAUCUCCAACUAUCUAGAAGAUGGCCAUAAUUAUUUGGUUAAUAGCCACCUCCACCACUGAACUUCUGCAACUUGCCUCUGAUGAAGCUGUUCCAAUAAUUGUUCAUUUCUUCACCCAUUCUUUUGCUCCACCAGUAUUUCCUAAGCAGCUGCUAUGCCAUGUGCCAGACGCUGUGCUGCUCCUGUAGUAUGGUAGGCAGACACAGUCCCUGCCCUCAAGAAGCUUACAGUCUGGUGGAAAGACAGACAAUUCUCUUCUGCAGCUCCCUCUCUGCCUCUGCCCCAGCACCCAUGCUGGUCUCUCCCAGAGCUUACAUCCCCCGGGUCCUCCCUGCAGGCCAGACACCACGAUGCCAAAUGCGGGCUGCUCAUCAAAGACUCCAUUGAGAGCUGGUCGCUGUGUGGGGAAAGCAGCAGUGUUGGCUCCGAACCUGACCUGAGGAGGCAUGGCUACCGUCAGUUCUGUUGUGACAGCCCUUGACAGCAGGUGUCUGUCAUCUCCCCCAUUCUAUCCCCUCCAACCACCCCAACGUUUUUUGCCAGCCUCAAAGUGUCACUUCCAUUUGGAAGGCAUAGAGGAAGCUACGUGGUGAGAGGAACCUGUCAUCACUCUACUUCUUGACCAGGGUGGAGGCCAGAGGACAAGUGGCAUCUGUGCUGGGACAUCCUAGGAGCCUGAAGCUGCUGCUGAAAGCAGCUGGGACCCCAGGUGCCUCUGCUGCAGUCCCUCUUCUCCCUGCCUGUGCCUUUAAAGAGGGUAGUUUUCUUCCAUGGACCCAUCACUGGCAUUCAUCUUCUCAGUGUGUCACUUGGUGGAAACGACAAUAUUUCCCUAGGUAGGGGUAGAGUGAGGAGUGGAAGGGAAUGUCCUGGCUAAGGGUUUGAGCUGCUGGAGACUGACCUUAAGGGAUGAGGAAGGGAGUGAACAAAAGGUAGUGAGUUGAGGCUUUGGGGUCAGACCAGGGCUGAAAUUCUAACUAUGACCCAGCAAUUCACUGCUGGGUGUAUACCGAAGAGAAAUGAAAACUUCUGUCCACACAAAGACAUGUAUGCAAAUGUUCAUGGCAGCGUUAUUCAUAAUAGCCAAAAAGUGGAAAUAACCCAAAUGUCCAUCAACUAAUGAAUGCAUAAAUACAAUGUCGCAUGUCCAUACAAUGGACUACUAUGUACCCAUAAACAGGAAUGAAGUGCGGAUACCUGCUACAGCAUGGAUGAACUUCAAAACUUUAUGAACUAAGUGAAAGGAGUCAGAUGCAAACCACGCAGAUACAUGUUGUAUGCUUCCAUUUAUAUGAAAUAUCCAAAAAGGCAAAUCUAUAGAUACAUGUAUUAGUCCAUUCUUAAAUUGCUAUAAAGAAAUAUCCGAGACUGUGUAAUUUAUAAAGAAAAGAGGUUUAACUGGCUCACAGCUCUGCAGGCUGUAUAGGAAGUGUAGUGACUUCUGGGGAGGCCUCAGGAAAUUUUCAGUCAUGGUGGAAGGUGAAGGGGAAGCAGGAGGAAGAGACAGAGAAGGGGCAGGUGCCACACACUUUUAAAUGACCAGAUCUCAUGACAACUCACUCACUAUCAAGAGAACAGCACCCAAGGGAAAUUCACCCCCGUGAUCCAAUCACCUCCCACCAGACCCCACUUCCAAUGUUGGGGAUUACAAUUCGACAUGAGAUUUGGACAGGACACAGAUCCAAACCAUAUCAAUACAGAAAGUAGAUUAGUGGCUGCCUGCGGCUAGAGAAGGAGGACAAGGAGAGACUACAAAUAGACAAAAGAUCUUUUUAAGAUGAUGGGAAUGUUCUAGAACUAGAUGGUGGCAAGGGUUGCACAGCUUUGUAAACUCACUAAAAAUCAUUGGAAUACACUUACAAUGGCUACAUUUUAUGAUGUGUAAAUUAUACCUCAAUAAAGCUAUUUAAAAAAUCUCCAUUAUACCACUUCCUAGCUUUGGGAAAUUACUUAACUAUUGAGUCUGUUUCUUCAUCUAUAAAAUGGGGAGGAUGAUACCUACUUCACAGGCUCACUGUGAGAAUUAGGGGCCUGAUUCACAGUGAGCACUCAAGAAAUGUAAAUGGUAGCAGUUGGCAGUCAUUACUACUGCUCCUGUCUUUUUGUUUGUUUUUGUUUUUGUGGUAGUAGAAGUGUCUUGAUUUAGAAAGAGAGGAGAGGGCUGGGUACGGUGGCUCACGCCUGUAAUCCCAGCACUUUGGGGGGCCGAGGCGGGUGGAUCACCUGAGAUCAGGAGUUUGAAACCGGCCUGGCUAACAUGGUGAAACCUUGUCUCUACUAAAAAUACAAAAAUUAGCUGGGUGUGGUGGUGAGUGCCUGUAAUCCCAGUUACUCGAGAGGCUGAGGCAG